GCUUCCUCUCAUGAAAUCAAUGUCUACGAUCGUACCAGCUGCACGCUUCUCCAUGCGUUCAAUGAUGACGAUUCCUCUUCCGGUUCUGUCAAGUCCAUCUCCUUCUGUGAAGGAAAAAUCUUCACUGCUCAUCAGGACUGUAAGAUCCGCGUUUGGAAACUGACGCCGACCAAAGAGCACAAGUUGGUAACAGUUCUUCCCACUGUUAAUGAUCGUUUACGCCGUUUAAUUUUCUCCAAGAACUACGUCAAAGUCCGGCGCCACAAGAAGCUGCUCUGGAUCGAA
rnacentral:misc_RNA from 1 species